UCAACAUAUUUCCAUGGAAGAUCUUACUUUAACUGAAGAAGAUGGUAUGCACGUGUUUCUACCUCUUAAUAAGUUUCCUUUUCUUUUUUUUUUUUUCCUCCUAAUGGUAAUUAUCCCUUUUUGUUUAUGUUCUUUUGGGUACUUAACUAGGGGUCUUGAGGUCAACCUCAAAUACACCACCUAGCCACUAUGUGAUGAAAAUUCAGUUAUUUUCCCAAAUUGCAAAGAAAAAAAUAGAGACGUACCAUUCAUCUGAUUUUGAGGCUGGAGGCUACAAAUGGUACAAUAAUUAUAAAUGUACUUAAUUAUAAUUUAUAGGUGUGAUUUAAAUGUGAAAUUAAUGUCAUGUUAAUUUGCAGGAACUUGAUUGUUUACCCGAAUGGAAACAAAGACAAAGGUAUUACAGACCAUAUUUCCGUGUACUUGGCGAUGACACAAGUAGAGUCUCUCAAUCCCGGUUGGGAGAUUCAUGCAAAUUUUCGAUUGUUUUUGCUUGAUCAAAAUAAAGACAAUUAUUUUACACUUGAAGGUAUAGCUACCUACGCCUACCUAUUAAAUUUGAAAUUUAUUGAAGUUGGUUUAAUUAAUCGUGUGAUAAUCGAAUGAAACAGAUGAUGUUGGGAAACGGUUUCACAAAAUGAAGCUCGAGUAUGGGUUCGAUAAAUUUGUACCUCUCAGCCUCUUCAACGAUCCCGCAAAGGGAUAUCUGGUGAAUGACACUUGCGUGCUUGGAGUUGAGGUUUAUGUUACUCAAGAGAAACUCACUGGAAAGGGGGAGAUUUUGUCAAUGUUCAAAAAUGCCAUUAGCUACAAACACACUUGGAAAAUCGACAAUUUCUCCAAUUUAACUGACGAAUAUCUAGACUCCAAACCAUUCAAUGCUGCAAAUCAAACAUGGUAUACAUCUUUUUUAAUCAAACUCCAUUACAUCUCGACUAUUUUUCAUGAUAUGUAAAAGUAAGAUUCGUGGAUGCAGGAAGAUACAAUUAUAUCCGAAAGGGAUAGGCACUGGAAAGGACAACUAUAUAUCGUUAUAUCUGGCAUUGGCUGAACCUGAAAAACUUUCUCCUACAACUAAGAUAUACACAGAAUAUAGGUUACGUAUAUUAGACCAAAUUAAUGGAAUACACGACUCUGGUACAGGUAAAUCACGACGCAUAUAAUAUUGGCAUUGCGAAGAAUCAAAAAACCUCCCAAGAUAAGCACAAACAGUUCAAAAAAUAAUUCGUCUUUAUGUGCUUUUGCAGCUAAUCACUGGUACAGUGCAUCAAAUAGUUUAUCGGGUUGGCAAAGAUUUGCGCCUAUGAGUUCUUUUUAUAAGAAAUCGGCUGGUUUUCUGGUGAACAACAGCUGCAUUGUGGAAGCAGAGGUUACAGUCAAUGGCAUGGCUAAUGCACUUUGAGAACGCACUUCUACAUUGAAGUAAAGGAUACUGCUUAAUAAAUAUUUUCCUUUUUCAUGAAAUAAAAAGGGAAAUUGGUAGUCAUACUGCAAUAGAUCUUCAGUAUAAUUGUUGUGUGACAUGCUAAUUUACCACUACGUUAUGUAAUAAAAGUUUUGAAAUAAGAAAGUACAAGAUAUGGUCAUAGCCCUCAUUUUAUGAUUUUUCGCCUUUUAUUAUGUGUUCACAAAUAGGCAAUUUCUACUAGUUUUGGAUGAUAGGCAUUGAAAUGUGACAUAAUAGUGAAAUUUGAUGCUAAAUUAAAGUUUAGUAACACAAUUGGGACAAGUA
rnacentral:lncRNA from 1 species